UGUAUGAUGAAUGAACUAGAACUAGGUUUAUCUCCCAAACCUUCCCUAUUUUCUAUUUUCCCUAUCAGUUUCCACUUUCCUAAAACUCCCCAACCAACUACACGUCUGCAAGACUGCAACUGAUUGCAAAAAACAAGAACAACUACCUUUUUGUGUGUAGCAAAGUUAAAAUUCUUUAUAAUCUCCAAAACUUCUAUUCGUUGGCAUGAAACAGAAGAACAAGUCUAUUCACUCCAAACUCUGGUGAGGCUCUAUAAUCAUCCAAUCAUGGAAUUCAGUUCUAUUAUACGGAAUAAUGCCUAUUUUCUGCUUCAAAAUUGGAGAUUUUUGGCUAUUAAUUGCAUAUGUUUCUAGUUGUUUGUUCAACAGAUAAUCGAUUAAGUGGAGGUAUGUUGUUUGGAAGUUUAAUCUCUGCGGAAGGCACGUGAAGGCUCAUUAUGGACGGCCUAAUGUUCAUAAACAUUUUCACUGUAAUCGAUUUCAGUCACCGCAUAUCAAGUGUGUGUAAGUUUGAAAAUUGAAGCAGCAGUUCUGCACUUAAUAUGUAUAGGCAACCGAGGCAACCAAGGCUCCCUGAUGGGUUUAGUACUUGAGUCAUGUAGUCCAAUUUCUGUACAUUCUUGAAUAUGUCUCAGGGCGUGUGUGUAAGCAUAAUAUAGAUACACAUUUCGAUUUCGAUUUCGAGUUAAGGUUCAUAACCCAUGCAUACUUUGCUUGGUACAGUUAA